UACGUAGGGUGCGAGCGUUGUCCGGAAUUAUUGGGCGUAAAGAGCUCGUAGGCGGUGUGUCACGUCGGCCGUGAAAACCUGCAGCUUAACUGUGGGCGUGCGGUCGAUACGGGCAUCACUGGAGUUCGGCAGGGGAGACUGGAAUUCGUGGUGUAGCGGUGAAAUGCGCAGAUAUCAGGAGGAACACCGGUGGCGAAGGCGGGUCUCUGGGCCGAUACUGACGCUGAGGAGCGAAAGCGUGGGGAGCGAACAGG
rnacentral:rRNA from 1 species